rnacentral:rRNA from 1 species
GACGAACGCUGGCGGCGUGCUUAACACAUGCAAGUCGAACGGAAAGGCCCUGCUUUUGUGGGGUGCUCGAGUGGCGAACGGGUGAGUAACACGUGAGUAACCUGCCCUUGACUUUGGGAUAACUUCAGGAAACUGGGGCUAAUACCGGAUAGGAGCUCCUGCUGCAUGGUGGGGGUUGGAAAGUUUCGGCGGUUGGGGAUGGACUCGCGGCUUAUCAGCUUGUUGGUGGGGUAGUGGCUUACCAAGGCUUUGACGGGUAGCCGGCCUGAGAGGGUGACCGGCCACAGUGGGACUGAGGUACGGCCCAGACGCCUACGGGAGGCAGCAGUGGGGAAUAUUGCACAAUGGGCGGAAGCCUGAUGCAGCAACGCCGCGUGCGGGAUGACGGCCUUCGGGUUGUAAACCGCUUUCGCCUGUGACGAAGCGUGAGUGACGGUAAUGGGGAAAGAAGCACCGGCUAACUACGU